rnacentral:lncRNA from 1 species
CAUUCUCCCAUCCCGUGCAUGUUACAUAGGACUAGACACUGGGUUUGAGGUAUGGAGGGGCUCCUAGCGCGCUUCUAGGUGGCGAUGUCGUAGCGGAUGUGGCGAAGGAUGACGGGGAUGACGGUGUCGGGUGAGCUGAGCUGGGGGAGGUGGCCGUCGGAUUGCAUGACCUCCACUAUGGAGUCGCCGCCGAGGUUCUGGUGCAGGUACUCCGAGACGACGACGGGGACGGCGAGGUCCUUCAUGCUCUGGAUGAUGUGGCAAGGGACGGUGACGAGGCGGAGGAUGGAGCGCAUGUCGCUGUUGAAGAUGGUCUGGGCGACACUAAGGGCAAUGUCGGGCCGCAUGUUGAAGAGCGUGCGGCUGAACUCCUGGACGGCCACC